UUGUCUCUUAUUUUUUUUUGUCUUAGUGGGUUUUAAUUGUAUUGAUGAUUGUUCUUUGGUGUCUAUGCAAGUUAUUUCAAGGGUUUGUGAAACUUAUACCUACCUAUAAAAUUGUCGAUGUAAACUAGCUAUAACUAUUUGAUGUUGGACAGUCUUGCUACUUCCAAAGUGUUUUAAAUUUAAUUUUGUAUAAGAAUUGUUAGAAAUAGAAUGGCUAAGCUAUGCAUUUCUACCGGGGGUGAGCAAAAUUAGGCAACUGUUUUCUCUAGUGUCAUAUAACUUAUAUUGAAUUCAAUGUUGUUCAUUUAAGGUGAUAGUUAUCUGGCGAGCUUGAAAAGCAAUACCAUUUCUAGGUAGAAGUACACUAUCCUAGUUAGAAUUCAUGUGAAUUCCACAAGUUUUAAAAAGGGGCCUAUAAUUGUGAUUUCAACUGCUGCACUACAAUUUUAAGUUAUCUACAGCGGCAGCAAGUAAUGGUCUAUUUGGAUCCACAUUGACACAUCAAACUUCAUGUCCCAAUGUAUAUUGAAGGUGUCACGAAAAUACAAUGUUUGAGCUUGUCGGCAGCCAACUCAUGGCAAUUUCACAAAAACUCACAUUAAUAAAAAACGUACAUUCAACAACAUAGUACAUAUACAUGGUGAGAUUUGAUGUGUCAAUGCAUAUCUAUACAAACCAUUAUCCAUAUAUCUUUCAGUAUCAAAUUGUAUUGUUAGACUAUGGUACUAGCAAGAAAAACUAUUGAGCAUCAAUGCAUGAAGAACAUGAAUAACUGUAGUGUAGUUAUUUUCUCCUAGUAAUUGAACAGAUUGCUUUUGUAUUUAUAUUAGUCCUAUCAAUGGGAAUUGUGAAACAAUUUUUUUUAUCAACUCAUAUAUAAGCAUCUCAGUAGCCACAUUAUCAAAAUUCAGCCUCAAAUGCAUAGGUGGAGAGGGACCAAAAUCAGAUAAUAAAAAAAUGUCUCAGUUGAAAACUCAAUUCACUUUAUACUACCAGGAACCAAAUUCAAAAGGGGUAAACAUGGUCACCUUUAUACUAACCAACUGCUCCAAUCAUCAUUGUAUAUUUUCUUCUAGCUUUCUUUGGUCCUUAUAUAUUUGUAUAGAUUGUCAUAAUGCGCAUAUGCUUAGUAACUUGUUUGUUGUAACUUCUAUGAUUUAUCAGUUUUUUCUUCCUAUAUGCUUUGUUCGUGAUACUUCUCAAUAUUGAAGUAAUCACUUGAUUCUAUGUUUAUCCUUUGUGAUUUUUUUGGCACAUAAAUAGUACAAGAAGCAAGUGACAAACGCCAGAAAGCAGCUACCUUUGAAUAUCUUUGCUAGGGGUUUUACUUGUGAAGAGUGAAGUUCGAUUCGUUUCCAAGAAUCUUACAGUGUGUGUUUCCAGAAGUUGCUGACUUUCUCUACAGGAUAUUGAAGGGUAAAAAGGUUACAGUUGUUGGCAAGAAGAAAAAGUAGAUAUUUAGCAUCCUUUUGACUUGGAUGUAAUUUUGUGUAAUUGUUUUCAUUGAAUUGGAUGUAAUUUUGUUGUUUUGGGUAAAAAUGUUUUGGAUGAUGCAAUUGUUUUCAUUGAAUUAGAUGUAAUUUUAUUGUUGUUUAUUAA